rnacentral:rRNA from 1 species
GGAUUAGAUACCCUGGUAGUCCACGCCGUAAACGAUGCAUACUAGGUGUUGGCCCUGUUGGGUCAGUGCUGCAGUUAACGCAUUAAGUAUGCCACCUGGGGAGUACGUCGGCAACGAUGAAACUCAAAGGAAUUGACGGGGGCCCGCACAAGCGGUGGAGCAUGUGGCUUAAUUCGAUGCAACGCGAGGAACCUUACCUGGGCUAAAUUUGCCGUGCUAUCUCUGGAAACAGGGAGUCCCUUCGGGGCGCGGUAGAAGGUGCUGCAUGGCUGUCGUCAGCUCGUGCCG